CCUGGUGGCCUUAGCGCGGUGGUCCCACCUGACCCCAUGCCGAACUCAGAAGUGAAACGCCGUAGCGCCGAUGGUAGUGUGGGGUCUCCCCAUGCGAGAGUAGGGAACUGCCAGGC
rnacentral:rRNA from 2 species